GUGGGGGCCCAUUUAGUUCUCUGUAUAAGCGCACGCAUUUCUUUGGUACUUGAACCGUGUGGGUUUCAAAACCGUGUUAUACUAUACAGGUCAUCAUUUAGCAUCAUUUAGCAUCCCCACGUAAUCUUUACUAUAACGUCAUGGCUCCAAAUCAAGCUUAGUCUCCAUAAUUGAUUGUUUGUCUCUUCUUAAAUUGAGCAGGCCAACAAAUGCCAGUUACACCUAAAAACUGUCUUCUCCAUCCAUAUAAAACAUAUUUAAGGGCCUCCUGGCGCAAUACAGUCCCCCUUUUCAGUGAGAAACCGAAGGGAAACGUUCAAAAGCCUGAAUGAAGAUUGUUAGAUAUGUUUGCAGUCAGCUCAGUUCAUGCGGUCUGUAAACAGUCUAAUGUCAGCAGAUGGUCUCUGUUUGCAACUGGAUCCCUUUUACAUUACACUUAGAUCGGUGCUACUAUCCACACACAGUUACGGCGCGAUUAUUAGUGUCUUCAGAGAGCUGGUGUUAAGUUUCGAAUGCAAUGACAGUUUUGUUACAACAACCAACUGAAUAAAGCUGAAAAUACAAGAGAAAGAAAACCAAGAAAAGGAUUAAUGGAAAAAUAAUGUUUGUAUAUAAAGGAAUAAACUAAAUAUUCUUGCCGUAAAAAAACCCCAGUGCUUGUAUUUUCUCUUUCCUCUCUCUUAAUUGCCUGGAGGGACCUCUGGCGAGAAUCUCCUGGCAUGACCUUUGGCCCCGGCUGACCCGCUCGCAACCACCAAUUGACCUCCAGCGCUCGUUUACUUUGCUGCGUGAACUGCAGAAGCGAACCGGGAUCGACACCUUCCGAGGCGUUAAUGAAAAGCAAGAGACACAACAGCUUCUGGUGCAAGUGCGCCGCCACACAGAGUCACCGAGGCGCCGUCCACGGCUACACGGAAAACUCACACGUGGUAUUAAGGACGCAGAAGCACUUGAACCCCAUUCCGCUUGCCGCUAAUUCACCCAUGUAAGAGGAUACGAGAGGGACCUUUAGGCUUUUGAGGGGACGAGAGUUAAAAACAGUCUAAUCACGAGUCGUCAUGGAGUGUGAAAAUGAGCUUAAUUGAUGUUAAUAGUCUCCUGGUAUUUAAAUUGUUGCAGCUUUGUUGCAAAGGGCAUGUUAUUCAAUUCAGUACAAUUCAAUGCAAGCCGACUGUAUAAUAAUCCAUUCACAGCUCAGCUGAAACUUAAAGGACAAAACAAAGCAAAAUACUAAUUUAUCAGAUCAAUGCCUGAUCAUCUCUGGUGCCGCCUCUCAAAAAUGAGAAUCAGCUUUUCUCUGUUGGCACUAAAAAAAGAUUUGAAUUAGAUUUUGAACUGUUGGCUUAACAAAACAAUCACAUCAGGCUUUGCCAUCACAUCUAUUUCAUUUCAUCACAAAUCAUCAAUGGAUCUUAAAGGGUUUCAUCUGAUCUAAUGUUCUACUAAAGUCAGUAAAGAGUGUAAAAUAAAAUGACUCAGUCAGAGAAUAAAACAGCUUUUGCUGAAAGCCAGCAGUGGGUGAGCCUCCACUGUUUGGCGUAUUCUCUGA